rnacentral:rRNA from 1 species
GAUGAACGCUGGCGGCGUGCCUAAUACAUGCAAGUCGAGCGAACAGAUGAGGAGCUUGCUCCUCUGACGUUAGCGGCGGACGGGUGAGUAACACGUGGAUAACCUACCUAUAAGACUGGGAUAACUUCGGGAAACCGGAGCUAAUACCGGAUAAGAUCUUGAACCGCAUGGUUCAAUAGUGAAAGACGGUUUUGCUGUCACUUAUAGAUGGAUCCGCGCCGCAUUAGCUAGUUGGUAAGGUAACGGCUUACCAAGGCAAGGAUGCGUAGCCGACCUGAGAGAGUGAUCGGCCACACGGGAACUGAGACACGCUCCAGACUCCUACGGGAGGCAGCAGUAGGGAAUCUUCCGCAAUGGGCGAAAGCCUGACAGAGCAACGCCGCGUGAGUGAUGAAGGUCUUCGGAUCGUAAAACUCUGUUAUUAGUGAAGAACAACUGUGUAAGUAACUAUGCACGUCUUGACGGUAACUAAUCAGAAAGCCACGGCUAACUACGUG